AUUGAACGCUGGCGGCAGGCCUAACACAUGCCAGUCGAACGGUAACAGGAAGAAGCUUGCUUCUUUGCUGACGAGUGGCGGACGGGUGAGUAAUGUCUGGGAAACUGCCUGAUGGAGGGGGAUAACUACUGGAAACGGUAGCUAAUACCGCAUAACGUCGCAAGACCAAAGAGGGGGACCUUCGGGCCUCUUGCCAUCGGAUGUGCCCAGAUGGGAUUAGCUAGUAGGUGGGGUAACGGCUCACCUAGGCGACGAUCCCUAGCUGGUCUGAGAGGAUGACCAGCCACACUGGAACUGAGACACGGUCCAGACUCCUACGGGGGGCAGCAGUGGGGAAUAUUGCACAAUGGGCGCAAGCCUGAUGCAGCCAUGCCGCGUGUAUGAAGAAGGCCUUCGGGUUGUAAAGUACUUUCAGCGGGGAGGAAGGGAGUAAAGUUAAUACCUUUGCUCAUUGACGUUACCCGCAGAAGAAGCACCGGCUAACUCCGUG
rnacentral:rRNA from 1 species